AGUGAACGCUGGCGGCGUGCCUAAUACAUGCAAGUCGAACGGAGUGGCGCACGGGUGAGUAAUAUAUAGCUAAUUUGCCCCUUGCUGGAGGUCAACAGUUAGAAAUGACUGCUAAUACUCCAUAGCAAGGGAUGAGACUAUAUCGUAUCAGCUAGUCGGUGGGGUAACGGCCUACCGAGGCUAUGACGCGUAACUGGUCUGAGAGGAUGAUCAGUAACAUUGGAACUGAGACACCGUCCAAACUCCUACGAGAGGCAGCAGUAGGGAAUAUUGCACAAUGGGGGAGACCGUGAAGGGGCAACGCGGCGUAGAGUAUGACACUUUGCGGAGCGUAAACUCCUUUUGUUAAGGAAGCGGUACCUAACGAAUAAGCACCGGCUAACUCCGUGCCAGCCGCCGCGGUAAUAC
rnacentral:rRNA from 1 species